GACGAACGCCGGCGGCGUGCCUAAUACAUGCAAGUCGAGCGAAGUUUUUCUGGUGCUUGCACUAGAAAAACUUAGCGGCGAACGGGUGAGUAACACGUAAAGAACCUGCCUCAUAGACUGGGACAACUAUUGGAAACGAUAGCUAAUACCGGAUAACAGUAUUUCUCGCAUGAGAGAUAUUUAAAAGUUGGUUAUGCUAACACUAUGAGAUGGCUUUGCGGUGCAUUAGCUAGUUGGUGGGGUAAAGGCCCACCAAGGCGACGAUGCAUAGCCGACCUGAGAGGGUGAUCGGCCACACUGGGACUGAGACACGGCCCAGACUCCUACGGGAGGCAGCAGUAGGGAAUCUUCCGCAAUGGGCGAAAGCCUGACGGAGCAACGCCGCGUGAGUGAAGAAGGAUUUCGGUUCGUAAAGCUCUGUUGUUAGGGAAGAAUGGAUAUGUAGUAACUAUACAUGUAAGAGACGGUACCUAACCAGAAAGCCACGGCUAACUACGUG
rnacentral:rRNA from 1 species